rnacentral:rRNA from 1 species
AAGCGGCAAAAGCUCAAAUUUGAAAUCUGGCGUCUUCGACGUCCGAGUUGUAAUUUGAAGAAGGCGACUUUGUAGCUGGUCCUUGUCUAUGUUCCUUGGAACAGGACGUCAUAGAGGGUGAGAAUCCCGUGUGGCGAGGAUCCCAGUUAUUUGUAAAGUGCUUUCGACGAGUCGAGUUGUUUGGGAAUGCAGCUCUAAGUGGGUGGUAAAUUCCAUCUAAAGCUAAAUAUUGGCGAGAGACCGAUAGCGAACAAGUACAGUGAUGGAAAGAUGAAAAGAACUUUGAAAAGAGAGUGAAAAAGUACGUGAAAUUGUUGAAAGGGAAGGGCAUUUGAUCAGACAUGGCGUUUGCUUCGGCUUUCGCUGGGCCAGCAUCAGUUUUAGCGGUUGGAUAAAUCCUCGGGAAUGUGGCUCUGCUUCGGUAGAGUGUUAUAG